CAUCCUCUUCCUCCUCCCCCCGGCUCUUUGUCCUCCUUUCUCAGGCCAUUUCUGUGGGGCCCGGCGCUUUGGCAGCUAAGAACCUUUGGGUCUGGCUCUUAGCAACGUGGAGGCCGCUCCGGCAGCUCCCAGGGGCCUUAAAGCGGGUGGAAAGGAGCCCCUGAGAACCCACAUGCUGCGCAGGGGGCAUCCCUGACUGCACAGCGCCUAAGGGCCCUGCUCCCAGCUAGCAAUGUAGGUGGCGUGUCGGGGGUGUGGCCGGUGGGCACCGUGCUGUGGCUAUUCCCAAUCCCAGCGGCCACGUGGAGCAGCGUGAUACAGGUCGUGCGUCACUGCUAACGAGAAUAAAAGAAAUGAUCUACAACCUCUAGAAAACGGGGUACCUGACACUUUCACGCACAUGUGCUGAGUACGAGGUGUAGUCUGAAUCCCAUUAUAAAAGAAGGUUAGGAAAACUGACCUCCCUACGGGAAAACUCCAGCAGGAACCAUCUCUCUACUGCUCCACGAGAGACCCGUCACACCCUAAGACCAUCUAGGAGGACACGCCAAGGAGGGAAAUUAAAAAAGAAUAA